UGGUUUUGAACGUAUCUCGUGCCC
rnacentral:piRNA from 1 species